UCCUUGCUCAGGGGAGAAAAUGCCUCUGCCAAGUCCUUGCAUUCAGUUGUUUAGUCCCUGGAAUCUGACAAGGUGAAGCUGGAGCUCAAGGUCAAAAUCUUGGAGCUUCAACUCAAAGAGAACAAAAGGCAGCUCCAGAGCUGGGCAGGUAAUUCUGAUUCUCAAGCAGAUGAGGAUGAAAGGGCCCAGGAGAAUCAGAUUGAUUUCCUGAAUUCCGUGAUUGUGGACCUCCAAAGAAAGAAUCAGGACCUCAACAUGAAAGUGGAGAUGAUAUC